GGUUAUAACUCAGUGGUAGAGCACUUGCCUCACACGAGUGAGGCCUUGGGUUCGAGCCUCAGCACCA
rnacentral:tRNA from 1 species